UUAUAUAUAUUACAUAUAUAUUCCUCCCACCCCAGAAAUUCCCCCCAACCCCAGAAUUUUCUUCUCUUUAUCUAUGUUUCCAACUGGAGUGGGCCACAUGAGACAUUCCUGUAUAAGAUUGGAGAGCAGAAGUGAAGCAGAUGUCACGUACGGUUCACACAUGAUGUCGCUUAUCUGCUGGCUCAUGUCGUUGGCUCUGCAGCAGUCAGACCUGCGACUGCUCCACUUUCGCUGGAUCCACUUUCAGUUUCUCUGACUCCUGGGACACAUGUGUGCAGUUCUGUGACAAAGGAGACUAGCUGUCCUGAGGACAUCCAUACCAUUGAGGCUCAGAAGAGAGAUCCAAGGCUUCCAGCAUGUGGGCUUGUAGAGAGUACUUAGAGACGCGAGAUAUGGGGGCCAGCUGAGAGUGGUGAAGAUGGUUAAGCUCUUGUUUUGCUCCAAGAAUUGGAGUGGGUAAGGUAUCUUCUCACCAUGCUCAAUGCAGUUGGUUUGUGAGAUAGUGGGGUGGGAGACACAGGGAGAGUUUAUGAUGCUCCACUGUAAUUAGUCCAGUAACUGUGAGACCAGUUGAGUAGGAACGUGGAUAUCCUCAAGCUUUGUUCCACUGUUACAGCUGGUAAACAUGGAUGAAUUGAUUUAAAUAUUUAUUUUGCAACAAUGUGGAUUUGAAUUAUGGAUAUAGUUUCCUCUUUUUGGUUAAUUAUAUGCACAUUUGAAUUCAUCUCUGUCUAUGAGUACUAGUGGACUAGCUGCUUCCCUGGAUCUCGUUACUGGAUGGUAUGUUGCUCUUAGUGUCAUCCAAACAGAAUUAUUUUAAAAGUGAAAUGAAGAAACCAGUUGUAGUGAAUUACACAUCACCAAUUUUUAGAGCUGUAGACUAAUAUCUUGAAAAUUGCCUUAACAUCUUUUUGCCACAAAUCAAGAUAUAAGUAACAUUAAGAGUUAUGUAAGGCCAGGCGUGGUGGCUCACACCUGUAAUCCCAGCACUUUGGGAGGCUGAAGAGGAUGGAUCAUCUGAGGUCAGGAGUUAAAGACCAACCUGGCCAAUAUGGUGAAACCCCGUCUCUACUAAAAGUAAAAAAAACAAAAUUAGCCGGCUGUGGUGGCAUGUGCCUGUAGUCCCAGCUACUCGGGAGGCUGAGGCACAAGAAUCUCUUGAAUGCGGACAGUGGAGGUUGCAGUGAGCUGAGAAUGCACCACUGCACUCUAGCCUGGGCGACAGAGCAAGAUUCCAUCUCAAUUAAAAAAAAAAAAAGUUAUGUGAACAUGCUUGAAAUGAUGUUCAUGGCUAAAUUUUUCAGUUACCUUGUAAAGAUGAUUCUUGGAUAUUGUUUUGAUUCUGAGUACUUUUGGAGUCAUCUGAUAGUAUGCUUCGAGAAUAACAAUCUGAUGAUAGCUUUCAACAUUGGGUUACCAACAAAGCUUGUUAUUUUGUAUACAUUGAUUCAUAAUUUCAGGUUUCUUCACCAUUAUGGUAAGUAGUGUAUUGAGUCUUCAUUCUAACACAUGUUAGGAAUUUAUGUUUGUACUCAUGGAUGUCUUUAACCCUCAGACAUUUCUACUUAUAUUGAGAACUCUAGACUGAAAACAUUUUGAAAUGUAGUGGUUUUACUAUGUAGGAGGAACAUGUGAUUCAUUUGUUCUGCUUCAUUUUCUUCUGUUUGUGAUAGAGAUUGGAUCAGAUGAAAGUGUCUUGAUAAUGAUAUACAUGCCAUUCUUUUCAUUCUAUGUAUUUGUAGUCCUUUUUUGCCAUCAUAACUUUGUUUAUGAUAUUCCCUGCUCUUAAAAUACCCUCAUCUUGUCCCUCCACCUAUCUAUAUCUAAAAUAUCCUUCAAGACCUUCCUUUUGCAGCUUUCUCUGAGUACUACAGCCAAAUCCUCUUGUCUGAACUCCAACAUGUGUAAUACAUUAUCAUCCUGUUUAAAUAUAAUUAUUUCUUAUAUUUAUUAAUUUAUCAAGGCCCUAAAUAUCUGCAUAAGCUUGCCUUCAUGGUUUCACUUUUUCAUUGUUCUCUAUAUUCAUGCCAUGUAACUUUGGCAUGCCUUCCCACUGUGGGUGGGGUAACCUGCCCACUGUUUGACUCUGGUUUCAGGCAUGUGAUUUGCUUUAACUAAUGAGAUAUUAUCAGAUAUCAUGCAAGCAGAGGCUUGAAAUGGUCUUGCACAUUGGGAAUUCCCUCUUGAGCCUCUGCCACCACCAUGAAAACAUUCCCAUGCUAGCCUGCUGGAGAGAGCCACAUGGAGGAGAGCCAUGCUACCCUAACUGCCAUAGCUGAGGCUAUCCUCGAUCAGCACACAUCCAUUCAAGCACCAGACACUGGAGAAAGUCCACUUGAGGUCAGUAGAGCUGCCUAGCAGAUGCCCAACUGACCCAAAAAGCAUAAGACAUAAACAUUUAUUGUUGUAUACCCUCUGAAGUUUUGCAUGUGUUACACCAUAUUACUAUAGUAAUAGAUAAUUGAUACAAAUGUCCUACAUGGCCUGGACCAUGCAUUCCUUGCUAAAUUUAUUUCUUGCUACUCUGUCCCUCUUUCGUCACUCUCUAGUGAUAUUGGCCUUCUGUUUUUAUGAUAUGCCAAGAUCAUUUCUGACGCAAGACUUUUUCCCUGCUAUUCUCUUUGUCAGGAGCAUCUUUCUCCUGUUAUUUAUCUGAGCAUUUAUCACUCAUUAUUGUGAUGCUCAGCUCAAAUAUCAUGGUUUCUGAGAGUGCUUCCUUGACCCUAUGAGCUAAAGGAGCCCCCUUCCCACUCAUUCUUUCCCUAUUCCUUUCACUCCUUUAUUUUCUUCACUGUGCUUCUGUCUAAAAUUAUCUUACUUGUUUACAUGCUUAUUGUCCAUUUCCUCUAAUGCCAGUGAGGGAGAUGGUAUCAAGAACAGAGUAUCAAGAACAGAGUCUGGCACAUAGUAGCCUUUCAAUAAACAUGUAAUAAAUGUAUGAAUUAUUUUUUCAUUAAGAGAACAGAUGGUAGAAACUAUGAUAGGUUCUAGAAUAUGAUAGAGUAUUUACUUAUUACCUAGGUCUGCUGUGACAAAUUACCACAAACUUGAUGGCUUAAGGCAACAAAAGCCCAAAAUCAAUGCGUGGACAGGACUGUGUUUCCUCCAGAGACUCUAGGGGAGAGCCCUUCCUUGCCUCUUCCAGCUUCUGGUGACUGUUGGCAUUCACUGCCUUGUGGUAGCAUCCUCUGCUCUGUCUUCAAUGACCUUCUCCUCUUUGUGUCUGUUCCUAAUAUUCCUCUGCCUCUCUCUUAUAAGGAUUCAUGUGAUGGCAUUUAGGGCCCACCAGGAUUAUCUCCUCAUCUCAAGAUUCUUAGUCACAUCUGCCAAGACUCUUUUAGGGGUAACAUUCAAAAUGAAUAAAGAAAACUACAGGACAAUAUGCCUGAUGAACACAGAUGCAAACCUCCUCAACGUAAUACUAGCAAACCAAAUACAGCAGCACAUAAAAAAUUGCUUCACCAUGAUCAAGUAAGUUUCAUUUCUGAGAUGCAGGUUGGCUCAACAUAUGAAAAUCAAUAAAUAUGAUUCACCACAUAUGCAGAAUUAAGAAGAAAAACCAUAUGAUCAUCUCAGUAGACACAGGAAAAGCUUUCAGUAAAAUCCAACAUCCCUUCAUGAUAAAAACCCUCAAAAAACUAGGCAUUGAAGAUACAUACCUCAAAAAAUAAGCGCCAUCUCUGACAAACCUACAGACAACAUCAUACUGAAUGGACAAUAACUGGAAUCAUUCCCCUUGAGAUUGGAAUAAGACAAGGAUGCCCACUCUCACCACUCCUGUUCAAAAUAGUACUGGAAGUCCUUGCCAGAGCAAUCAGGCAAGAGAAAGAAAUAAAAGGCAUGCGAAUAGGAGAAAAAGUCGAACUAUCUUCACUGAUGAUAUAACUCGAUACUUAGGAAACUAAAGACUCUGCCAAAAGGCUCCUGAAACUCAUAAGCGCUUCAGUAAAGUAUGAGGAUACAAAAUUAACAUACAGAAGUUUGUAGCAUUUCUAUACACCAAUAACAUUCAAGCUGAAAGCUAAAUCAAGAAUGCAAUUCCAUUUACAAUACACAUGGACACACACACACGCCUAGGAUACAAAUAACCAAAGAGGUAAAAGAUCUCCCCAAGGAGAACUACAAAACACUGCUGAAAGAAAUCCCAGAUGGAAACAAACAAAUAGAAAACUAUUCUACGCUCACAGAUUGGAAGAAUCAAUAUCAUUAAAAUAGUCAUACUGUCCAAAGCGAUCUACAAGUCCAAUGCUAUUCCUAUCAAGCUAUCAAUAUCAUUUUUCACAAAACUGGAAAAGACUAUUCUAAAAUUUAUAUGGAACAACAACAACAGAAAGCCCAAAUAGCCAAAGCAAUCCUAAACAAAAAAACAAAGCUGGAAGCAUCAAAUUACCUGACUUCAAACUAUACUAUAAGGCUACAGUAAACAAAACAGCAUGGCACUGGUGCAAAAACAGAAACACAUAGACCAGUGGAACAGAACAGAGAACCCAGAAAUAAAGCUGCACACCUACAGCCACCUGACCUUCAUCAAAGUUGACAAAAAUAGUCAAUGGGGAAAUGACUCCCUAUUCUAUAAAUGGUUCUGGGAUAGCUGGCUAGUCACAUUGCAAAAGAAUGAAACCAGACCUCUAUAUUUCACCAUAUACAAAAAUUAACCCAAGAGGGAUUAAAGUGUAAGACCACAAAUUAUAAGAAUUCUAGAAGAAAACCUAGGAAACAUCUUUCUGGAGAUUGGUCAUAGGAGAGAACGUAUUACUAAGUCCUCAAAAGCAAUUGCAACAAAACCAAAAAUUGAUAAGUGGGACCUGCAUAAACUAAAGAGCUUCUGCACAGCAAAAUAAACUAUCAACAGAAUAAAAAGACAACCUACAGAAUGAGAGAAAAUAUUCACAAACUAUGCAUCCAACAAAGGUCUAACAUCUAGAAUAUAUAAGAAACAAACAGUUGAACAAGCAAAAAACAAAUAGCCCCAUUAAAAAAUGGAGAAAAUACAUGAAGAGACACUUCUCAAAAGAAGACAUACAAGCAGCCAACAAACAUUUAAAAAUGUUCAGCAUCACUAGAGAAAUGCAAAUCAAAACCACAAUGAGAUGCCUUCUUAUACCAGUUAAAAUGGGUAUUAUUAAAAAGUCAAAAAUCAACAGAUGCCGGCAAGGCUGUAGAGAAAAGGGAAUGCUUAUACACCGUUGGUGGGAAUGUAAAUUAGUUUAGCCCCUGUGGAAAGCAGUUUGCAGAUUUCUCAAAGAACUUGAAACAGAACUACCAUUUGACCUAGCAAUCCUAUUACUGGUAUGCAUCCAAAAGAAAGUAAGUUGCUCUACUAAAAAGACAUAUGUACUCAUAUGUUCAUCACAAUGCUAUUCAUAAUAGUAAAGACAUGGAGUCAUCUAGGUGCCCAUCAAAAGCAGAUUAGAAAAAGAGAAUGGGGUAUUAUACACCAUGGAAUACUAUGCACCCAUAGAAAAAAAAUUAUGUCCUUUUUAGCAACAUGGAAACAGCUGGAAGCCAUUAUCCUAAGCAAAUUAACACAGGAACAAAACAAAAUACCACAUGUUCUCACUUAUAAGUGGGAGUAAAACAGGUACUUGUGGACAUAAAGGUGCUAACAGUAGACUCGGGACUACUAGGGGAGGGAGCAAGGAAGGCAGGGGGUAGGGGCUGAAAAAUUGUUGGGUACUAUGCUCAGUACUUGGGUGACUCAAGUAAUCUGCACAUGUACACCCUGAAUCUAAAAAGUUGAAAUUAUAAAAAUAAUAAAAUAUUUUUUUAAAAGAUAGCAUUCACAGCUUCCAGGGAUUCAGUGUGAAUACUUUUGGGGGCCAUUUUUUGGCCUGCCAGAAGUAUAAACACUAUCAACUCUAGUAUAUAAGAGGCAAAACAGUAUUAUCUGCACAUGACCAUGCUGUUUAAGCUCUGUGCCUACUUGCUCUCCUGCAAAGCACAGAUAUCAAUAGUACCUAUUUCCAAAGAUUGUUGUGAGGAUUGAUAUGUAAGUACCCAGUAGUUUCUAUGACAUAAGUAUUCAAUAAAUAUCAUUACACUGUUAAA